rnacentral:lncRNA from 1 species
AAUGCUAAGCUCUAAGGCUAUAUUCAGGCUUUAAGAAACAUCUCUUUUUUUUCUUAUAUGAUUCUUAGGUAUCUUCUGCUGAUGAAUUGACAAUGAAAUGCCUGAUUCUCUCAGGGUACCAUUGGGAAGAAACAGAGCAAUUUGUUUGCCAGCAUUAUUUUCUAAAUAAAAGUGCAAGAUACUAAGUUGGCUGAUCUUAAGGGAAGAAUAAUCAUCCUUUUAUUUCAUACGGUUUUUAACUUUCAAGUCAGCUAUGCCUAAAUUUGAAUCAACAUGGAUGAGAGUUAUUUGAGUGAAUUGUCUGAUACAAACAUCUGUUUAUCUCAUGAAGCCAGCAAAGUGAUCCUGUGCAGCGUUUAUCCAGUGCUGAUUUGACUGUGGAUAUGCAUACAUUUACUGAGCAACCAGAAAAGGAUAUACAAAAAUGAAUUUAACAUCUCCCUUACAAUAGUAUGGAAUUUCUGAAAUUUGACACAAUAUAAUUUAAAAAAUGUGACCCUUACAACUAAAGAGACUGAUAAUUAAAUCACAAAUAGCUGUACUCCAUCCUCUGAUAAGAAGUAAAUUGAAAAAAAAACAAAAACAAACAAACAAAAAAGCAGUAUAUUUUUCAGCAUGUACAAUGGGAAAGGAGAAGCCAGUAUCUAUAUAACUUAUUUUCACAUAACAUGAACACAAGGAAGAGAAAAGAAAUGACACAUGCUUCUCUUUCAGUCCUUUUUUCCAUCCAGCCUACUUUAGCCUAAUCUACCAUCUGAGGAAACAAACCAGAAGGCAUCCCGGGAUGGUGGAAUAAAUGUCAAACAUCAUACUUUUCUCCCUUUAAA